GGGUCUAUCUAUCGGUCAAAUUAUCUUUUUUUUUAGGAUAUGCAGUAAAAUGUUUAGGCAUGAAGCAGUUGCAUUCUUUUUAGAGCCUUCCGGUUGAGUUGUAUGGAGAUAUGUCGUAAAUUAUACGCAGAUCGGAAAUGGUACGAAUGCUUCAACGUAGUGGGGUUCAUUAAAUGUAACCAAAGACCAGAAAUGAUGUUAAACUGAGCGAAUAAUUAAGUCUAUUUCUCUAUGAAAGACUAUUACUUCUUAUAUUAUCGAGAUAUUAAAAAAACUGAUUUAAAUAAAGGUAUUGUAUCAUGCAGAUUUUCUAUGAUCCUGUAUUUCUAUAACUAUUUUCCUCUUCAUAACGAAGAAAGAAAACUCAAAGAGUUCGGAGAAACUUGUUACCAACAGGUUCUUCGCCGAAUUUUUAAAUUCUUCUUCUUUUAAUUGAAAAAUGUACGUAGGCGCAGGAGUGGCUGUGUGGUAAGUAGCCUGCUUAUUUCCGGUUUGCUCACUGUGCAUGUGCGUCAGACUUGCUACUUGCCGUCAACAAAGGUAGACAUGAGUGUGGCUCUGUCUAAAAAAAGGAAAAAUUGAAGAAUUCGCCGAGUAAAUCCGCCGGCUCUGGAGCAGUUCCGUUUGCUUUCGGCGACUUUGAGUUGUUGUUCAUUUUUGUGAACAAAAUUGUGUUUCUCGUUCGUCGUUAUUGGUAGUAGCCAACGCGCAAGACCGGAAGUCAGGGUAAGCAGGCUUCUUUCUUUCAUAAAUUAGCCAUAUAGGCUUUACAUAGAAUAGCGGUAGCUAAGGCUGGACAAAGACAAAUGUAGAAUGAAAGGAUGAUACAUAUGAAAAAUGAGAGGGGCGCCGAGGCUAGUGCCUCUCUCAUUAUUUGUUUCAUCCUUAUCACCCUCAUCUCAUUAAUGUCCACGUCCAGCCCGCAGCUACUUUAUGUUUGUCUGUCCCCUCUAUGUAAUGCCGUUAAUGGCGAAAUUUAUUGAAAUGAAGUAGCCUGCUUAGCUUGACUUCCGGUCUUGCGCAUUGGUUACUUCCGGUAGACACGAGGAACAGAGUGGAUG